GGUUAAGCGACUAAGCGUACACGGUGGAUGCCCUGGCAGUCAGAGGCGAUGAAGGACGUGCUAAUCUGCGAUAAGCGUCGGUAAGGUGAUAUGAACCGUUAUAACCGGCGAUUUCCGAAUGGGGAAACCCAGUGUGUUUCGACACACUAUCAUUAACUGAAUCCAUAGGUUAAUGAGGCGAACCGGGGGAACUGAAACAUCUAAGUACCCCGAGGAAAAGAAAUCAACCGAGAUUCCCCCAGUAGCGGCGAGCGAACGGGGAGCAGCCCAGAGCCUGAAUCAGUGUGUGUGUUAGUGGAAGCGUCUGGAAAGGCGCGCGAUACAGGGUGACAGCCCCGUACACAAAAAUGCACAUACUGUGAGCUCGAUGAGUAGGGCGGGACACGUGGUAUCCUGUCUGAAUAUGGGGGGACCAUCCUCCAAGGCUAAAUACUCCUGACUGACCGAUAGUGAACCAGUACCGUGAGGGAAAGGCGAAAAGAACCCCGGCGAGGGGAGUGAAAAAGAACCUGAAACCGUGUACGUACAAGCAGUGGGAGCCUCUUAAUGGGGUGACUGCGUACCUUUUGUAUAAUGGGUCAGCGACUUAUAUUCUGUAGCAAGGUUAACCGAAUAGGGGAGCCGAAGGGAAACCGAGUCUUAACUGGGCGUUAAGUUGCAGGGUAUAGACCCGAAACCCGGUGAUCUAGCCAUGGGCAGGUUGAAGGUUGGGUAACACUAACUGGAGGACCGAACCGACUAAUGUUGAAAAAUUAGCGGAUGACUUGUGGCUGGGGGUGAAAGGCCAAUCAAACCGGGAGAUAGCUGGUUCUCCCCGAAAGCUAUUUAGGUAGCGCCUCGUGAAUUCAUCUCCGGGGGUAGAGCACUGUUUCGGCAAGGGGGUCAUCCCGACUUACCAACCCGAUGCAAACUGCGAAUACCGGAGAAUGUUAUCACGGGAGACACACGGCGGGUGCUAACGUCCGUCGUGAAGAGGGAAACAACCCAGACCGCCAGCUAAGGUCCCAAAGUCAUGGUUAAGUGGGAAACGAUGUGGGAAGGCCCAGACAGCCAGGAUGUUGGCUUAGAAGCAGCCAUCAUUUAAAGAAAGCGUAAUAGCUCACUGGUCGAGUCGGCCUGCGCGGAAGAUGUAACGGGGCUAAACCAUGCACCGAAGCUGCGGCAGCGACACUAUGUGUUGUUGGGUAGGGGAGCGUUCUGUAAGCCUGUGAAGGUGUACUGUGAGGUAUGCUGGAGGUAUCAGAAGUGCGAAUGCUGACAUAAGUAACGAUAAAGCGGGUGAAAAGCCCGCUCGCCGGAAGACCAAGGGUUCCUGUCCAACGUUAAUCGGGGCAGGGUGAGUCGACCCCUAAGGCGAGGCCGAAAGGCGUAGUCGAUGGGAAACAGGUUAAUAUUCCUGUACUUGGUGUUACUGCGAAGGGGGGACGGAGAAGGCUAUGUUGGCCGGGCGACGGUUGUCCCGGUUUAAGCGUGUAGGCUGGUUUUCCAGGCAAAUCCGGAAAAUCAAGGCUGAGGCGUGAUGACGAGGCACUACGGUGCUGAAGCAACAAAUGCCCUGCUUCCAGGAAAAGCCUCUAAGCAUCAGGUAACAUCAAAUCGUACCCCAAACCGACACAGGUGGUCAGGUAGAGAAUACCAAGGCGCUUGAGAGAACUCGGGUGAAGGAACUAGGCAAAAUGGUGCCGUAACUUCGGGAGAAGGCACGCUGAUAUGUAGGUGAAGUCCCUCGCGGAUGGAGCUGAAAUCAGUCGAAGAUACCAGCUGGCUGCAACUGUUUAUUAAAAACACAGCACUGUGCAAACACGAAAGUGGACGUAUACGGUGUGACGCCUGCCCGGUGCCGGAAGGUUAAUUGAUGGGGUUAGCGGUAACGCGAAGCUCUUGAUCGAAGCCCCGGUAAACGGCGGCCGUAACUAUAACGGUCCUAAGGUAGCGAAAUUCCUUGUCGGGUAAGUUCCGACCUGCACGAAUGGCGUAAUGAUGGCCAGGCUGUCUCCACCCGAGACUCAGUGAAAUUGAACUCGCUGUGAAGAUGCAGUGUACCCGCGGCAAGACGGAAAGACCCCGUGAACCUUUACUAUAGCUUGACACUGAACAUUGAGCCUUGAUGUGUAGGAUAGGUGGGAGGCUUUGAAGUGUGGACGCCAGUCUGCAUGGAGCCGGCCUUGAAAUACCACCCUUUAAUGUUUGAUGUUCUAACGUUGGCCCCUGAUCGGGGUUGCGGACAGUGUCUGGUGGGUAGUUUGACUGGGGCGGUCUCCUCCUAAAGAGUAACGGAGGAGCACGAAGGUUGGCUAAUCCUGGUCGGACAUCAGGAGGUUAGUGCAAUGGCAUAAGCCAGCUUGACUGCGAGCGUGACGGCGCGAGCAGGUGCGAAAGCAGGUCAUAGUGAUCCGGUGGUUCUGAAUGGAAGGGCCAUCGCUCAACGGAUAAAAGGUACUCCGGGGAUAACAGGCUGAUACCGCCCAAGAGUUCAUAUCGACGGCGGUGUUUGGCACCUCGAUGUCGGCUCAUCACAUCCUGGGGCUGAAGUAGGUCCCAAGGGUAUGGCUGUUCGCCAUUUAAAGUGGUACGCGAGCUGGGUUUAGAACGUCGUGAGACAGUUCGGUCCCUAUCUGCCGUGGGCGCUGGAGAACUGAGGGGGGCUGCUCCUAGUACGAGAGGACCGGAGUGGACGCAUCACUGGUGUUCGGGUUGUCAUGCCAAUGGCACUGCCCGGUAGCUAAAUGCGGAAGAGAUAAGUGCUGAAAGCAUCUAAGCACGAAACUUGCCCCGAGAUGAGUUCUCCCUGACUCCUUGAGAGUCCUGAAGGAACGUUGAAGACGACGACGUUGAUAGGCCGGGUGUGUAAGCGCAGCGAUGCGUUGAGCUAACCGGUACUAAUGAACCGUGAGGCUUAACCUU
rnacentral:rRNA from 1 species